rnacentral:lncRNA from 1 species
CAUUUACCCUAAUCUCUUUCUCUCAAUCGCAGGAAGCCAUUCAUGAUUCAACAAUUAAUCAGCCACCGUGAGAUCGAUGGCUUCCUUUUCAUCAACAGUGGCAGUGCUCUCCUUUUUUCCCCCAUCAUCAACGGCAUCCUCUUCAGUCUUUAUCAACAGCUGGGAAGGGAUGUUCUCCAUGAGGGUAAAGUUUAAUUGCUUAUGUUGAAUUUUUAUUGCUGGAAAGGGAUUUUUAGCCCCGGUUGCUCUUUGUCCCAUUCCUUUCUAUUUCCCCUUCUUUUCUCUCCCUUAUAAGACUAUGAUGAUCUGUUAAUUAAAAUGCAAUCUCUUCCUUGUUGAUCUGUGUUUUUAGCCCCGGCUCCCUUUAUGUAAUUGAUGGUGUUUGUGUCUUAUUUUUAGUCGAUGCUUGAGAUGUUGAAAAGAGAUUGCAUUUUAAUAUUUUGUCCACAAUAGAUGUAGGAGGAAAUUCUCGAGUUCACGAUCUGGACAUAUCUUAAGGUUGUGGUAAAGGCAAGAAGAUAAAAUGUUCUUUUUAACCUCUAUUAAAAUUCAAUGAUUCGGCCAGAUUUGACAUUUUAUUACAGGAUUCUAGUCUACUUCAAUUGUUCUUAAUGUCAUGCCUUCUUCUUGUUCUUACAAUUCAAUCAUUCCAUAAUCUUGUUUUAUCUCAGCAUAUUAAUCUGUGGAUUGUAUCACAUAUGUCCUCUUUGUACAAUAUGGUAUCGUUUCUUGAGUAAAGAUGGAAUCCACUGGCUUUGCUGGAUAUUUUUUCAUUGUAUUAUGACCAUCAGUUUCUUUUGUUUUGAAUCAUAUCUGUUGGCGAUGUCAUCUUCUUGUGAACUAUGGAAUUUAUACACCACCCGCUUUAGCCUCAUGGAUUUUGAUAGUGAUAUUUUUCAG